rnacentral:rRNA from 1 species
ACUGAACGCUGGCGGCAGGCCUAACACAUGCAAGUCGAGCGGAUGAAGGGAGCUUGCUCCUGGAUUCAGCGGCGGACGGGUGAGUAAUGCCUAGGAAUCUGCCUGGUAGUGGGGGAUAACGUCCGGAAACGGGCGCUAAUACCGCAUACGUCCUGAGGGAGAAAGUGGGGGAUCUUCGGACCUCACGCUAUCAGAUGAGCCUAGGUCGGAUUAGCUAGUUGGUGGGGUAAAGGCCUACCAAGGCGACGAUCCGUAACUGGUCUGAGAGGAUGAUCAGUCACACUGGAACUGAGACACGGUCCAGACUCCUACGGGAGGCAGCAGUGGGGAAUAUUGGACAAUGGGCGAAAGCCUGAUCCAGCCACGCCGCGUGUGUGAAGAAGGUCUUCGGAUCGUAAAGCACUUUAAGUUGGGAGGAAGGGCAGUAAGUUAAUACCUUGCUGUUUUGACGUUACCAACAGAAUAAGCACCGGCUAACUUCGUG